GCUGUGCAGAUAUCAGACAUUUCUCUCAUCACAGAAAUUUCCAUUGACCAGUACUGUUCUAGAAGAACAUUUUUUAAUCCUUUCUCACCCAGUACAUUUGACAAGGAAGCAUGCAUCGAUAAACUAGAGGUUCUCUGCCUCCGCUGGUUCCAGACAUCAUGAAUUCCAGACCUACUGGGACACGUCCCAUUUAUUUGGCCCCAGGAGCUGCGGGCCUACAUACGACCUAAGUCUCAAGAGCCAAGAAACGCAGCACGUUGUUACUAAUGGCAAGAACACCGUAGUUAUGGAGGACUUGAUAUGCGGCCAUCCCGGUGGGAACAUGCGCCUGUACUUUGAGAAACUCCUUUUCACAGAGGAGGAAAACAGAAGUCCAAAGAAGUAAAGUAACUUGCCCAAACUGUCAACAUAGGCGGCUGUGAAUCAAAGUCUACCAGAUUAGACAGCCUGAGCUCUGUAACACA